rnacentral:rRNA from 1 species
ACUUUUACAAUGAAGAGUUUGAUCCUGGCUCAGGAUGAACGCUAGCUACAGGCUUAACACAUGCAAGUCGAGGGGCAGCAUUUUAGUUUGCUUGCAAACUAAAGAUGGCGACCGGCGCACGGGUGAGUAACACGUAUCCAACCUGCCGAUAACUCGGGGAUAGCCUUUCGAAAGAAAGAUUAAUAUCCGAUAGUAUAUUAAAACCGCAUGGUUUUACUAUUAAAGAAUUUCGGUUAUCGAUGGGGAUGCGUUCCAUUAGUUUGUUGGCGGGGUAACGGCCCACCAAGACUACGAUGGAUAGGGGUUCUGAGAGGAAGGUCCCCCACAUUGGAACUGAGACACGGUCCAAACUCCUACGGGAGGCAGCAGUGAGGAAUAUUGGUCAAUGGACGAGAGUCUGAACCAGCCAAGUAGCGUGAAGGAUGACUGCCCUAUGGGUUGUAAACUUCUUUUAUAUGGGAAUAAAGUAUUCCACGUGUGGAAUUUUGUAUGUACCAUAUGAAUAAGGAUCGGCUAACUCCGUGCCAGCAGCCGCGGUAAUACGGAGGAUCCGAGCGUUAUCCGGAUUUAUUGGGUUUAAAGGGAGCGUAGGUGGAUUGUUAAGUCAGUUGUGAAAGUUUGCGGCUCAACCGUAAAAUUGCAGUUGAAACUGGCAGUCUUGAGUACAGUAGAGGUGGGCGGAAUUCGUGGUGUAGCGGUGAAAUGCUUAGAUAUCACGAAGAACUCCGAUUGCGAAGGCAGCUCACUAGACUGCAACUGACACUGAUGCUCGAAAGUGUGGGUAUCAAACAGGAUUAGAUACCCUGGUAGUCCACACAGUAAACGAUGAAUACUCGCUGUUUGCGAUAUACAGUAAGCGGCCAAGCGAAAGCAUUAAGUAUUCCACCUGGGGAGUACGCCGGCAACGGUGAAACUCAAAGGAAUUGACGGGGGCCCGCACAAGCGGAGGAACAUGUGGUUUAAUUCGAUGAUACGCGAGGAACCUUACCCGGGCUUAAAUUGCAUUUGAAUAAUCUGGAAACAGGUUAGCCGCAAGGCAAAUGUGAAGGUGCUGCAUGGUUGUCGUCAGCUCGUGCCGUGAGGUGUCGGCUUAAGUGCCAUAACGAGCGCAACCCUUAUCUUUAGUUACUAACAGGUCAUGCUGAGGACUCUAGAGAGACUGCCGUCGUAAGAUGUGAGGAAGGUGGGGAUGACGUCAAAUCAGCACGGCCCUUACGUCCGGGGCUACACACGUGUUACAAUGGGGGGUACAGAAGGCAGCUACCUGGCGACAGGAUGCUAAUCCCAAAAACCUCUCUCAGUUCGGAUCGAAGUCUGCAACCCGACUUCGUGAAGCUGGAUUCGCUAGUAAUCGCGCAUCAGCCAUGGCGCGGUGAAUACGUUCCCGGGCCUUGUACACACCGCCCGUCAAGCCAUGAAAGCCGGGGGUACCUGAAGUACGUAACCGCAAGGAGCGUCCUAGGGUAAAACUGGUAAUUGGGGCUAAGUCGUAACAAGGUAGCCG